AGGACGAACGCUGGCGGCGUGGAUUAGGCAUGCAAGUCGAGCGGGUAAAUGAUCCCUUCGGGGUGAAACCAAGCGGCGAACGGGUGAGUAACACGUGAACAAUCUGUCCCUACAUUCCGGAUAAUAGAUCGAAAGGUCUUGUAAUACGGGGGAGGAUCGAUCUUUGGCAUCUUAGAUCGAGGGAAGGUGCAACGCAAGUUGUGCCGUGCAGGGAGGAGUUCGCGGCCUAUCAGGUAGUUGGUGGGGUAAUGGCCUACCAAGCCUACGACGGGUAGCUGGU
rnacentral:rRNA from 1 species